rnacentral:tRNA from 1 species
GCGGAGGUUGCCAAGCCCGGUUAACGGCGCUAGACUCAGACUCUAGGCCUUUCCAGCGUAAUUCCGCUGCAAAGGGGAAAAUCUCGUAGGAGUUCGCGAGUUCAAAUCUCGCCCUCCGCACCA